AUAACGACUCUCGGCAAUGGAUAUCUCAGCUCUCGCAUCAAUGAAAAACCUAGCGAACUGCGAUAUUUGGUGUGAAUUGUAGAAUCCUGUGUACCAUCGAGACUUCGAACGCAAGUUACGCCCCAAAGCCUUUGGGUUGAGAGCACGUUUACCUGGGUGUCACA
rnacentral:rRNA from 1 species